rnacentral:lncRNA from 1 species
CUUUUUUUUCCACCAAAAAAAUAAGUCACAGGACAAAUUUGGACUUAGAAAUACUUUAAGUAAUAAACUUUAUUUAAAUCUGGUCCAAAACACAUUUAUUUAAAAUAAAAUAGAAUCCACCUUCCUAUAAUGUUUGUAAAACACACCAACUACAUUUGACAAUCUUUAGUGUUUUAACCAGAUCAGAGAACACCAUAUUACUGCCUAGGCCCUAACACACUGGAAAUAAGGACAACUGUGACAAUUAUAUAGCUUUAAAACAACAUUGUAAAUAAACAGAAACAUCAUACCAGUUCCUGAUGACUUGAUUAAUUUGUUCUCCCUUUUGAAAAGGAACAAAAUUCAUAUUCUUUCAAAUUUUCCCAGCAGGGAUCUUUAUUUAACCUGAACUGUCUCUAAGCGUGACUGAGAUUCUGCUGAGAUGCUCCCCAGGUGACAGAGGACCAAAUAUCUGUAAGGAGUUCUGCUCCAUCCAAGCCCACUUACCAAAGGGGAACCCACCCUGCCCUCUUUUUCUCUCUCUGCUACUCCUACCUUCUCCCUAGGAGCAGCUAAGUCGCCCUCUCUCUUCAGCUCCUUCUUCUGUGCUCCAGGCAGAGUUAUAUUUGGAUCAGAUCGGAGAAGCUAAUAUAGAACAAAUGUUGGAUGUGGCUGCCGCUUCUCAUAGCAAUGGCAUGAAUUUCAACACUCUUGGCUUCCUGGAAGCCUGGUCCAGCUGCAGGGAAUUCCGAAAACUGGCCACUCGUGGUGCAGCUCUGCCUCUUGUCUGAAGGCACACUAUCAACCCCAGAAAUCCUCCACCUUCCAGGAGCCUCGGUUUCACCAUUGACAGCAGGGAUAGAAAAAUGCCCAGCUCACAGGGUUCGUAUGAGAACCAAAUGUCUGUAAAAAUGCUUUGAAAACCAGAAUGCUUUAACAAAAGGUGAAAUUGAUUAGAAAGGUGUUAAACUCACCUGCUUGAAACUUUCAAGGUGAUUUCCUUGAUCUCUCUCCUUCCUGCAUAGUAAGGUUCUGCUUGGGGUCUCAGCUCCUUCCCGCCGAGACCUCUU